rnacentral:misc_RNA from 1 species
GAACCCAGCUCCCAUAUACGGAAAAUAUUGUGGAAAUAGAUUUCAUCUUCUCCAAGUGUCAGUUGUGAAUCCGAAUUUUAGCUCCUAUACCACUACAAACAAUUUCGUGGAUGACCUGUGAAAUAAGCCGUUUUAUGAUGAUCGCCAGGCUGUUCCUUGUGCUUUGCGUCGUCUCUAGUGCAUGGGCACUAUGCCCGACGAAAUGUACGUGUUUCUUGGACUACAAAGGACGAAACGCAGUGGUCUGCAAAGAUGGCGGAAUGGUGGGACCCUUGAAUUUAAACAACGUCAGUCUGGAGACCGAAGUUAUCAAAAUAACCGCUCCAGAUGACAAUAUGAAUUCACUUACUAUGAGUCCGGUGUUUCAAAGCUAUAAACAGCUCGAAGAGAUACAUAUUACGAAAUCUAACAUACCCCAACUGGGAAUGCACUUUUUCUACGGACUCAACAAACUAGACGUAUUAAAUUUAUCCCAAAAUAAUAUAACGCAGCCUCUGGACCACAACUUUCGUGGAUUGUCGCAUCUGAAGGAGCUGUAUCUGGACGACAAUCGGAUUAUUUCCUUACCUAGCGGGACGUUUAGGUAUUUACAUGGGCUUAAACUUUUGUCGAUACAAAGAAAUAGAAUCGAAGAACUUACUCCGAGGAUAUUUUUAGAGAUUAGUAAACUGAGAAUGCUGAAGCUUAGCGGAAACAACUUGAGGGAGUUGCAUCCUGAAGUUUUUAAGGAUAUACAGGAGCUCACCUAUCUUGAAUGCCGUGGCUGUGCCUUAACCACAUUGAACAACGAAAUCUACCACCUCCUGCCAGAUCUAAUUCACUUAGACCUAGGUAAAAACGAAAUUAAGAAUAUUUCCCAAAACGAUUUCCAGAAUCUCCUAAGUUUGCGACAUCUUAAGUUAGAUAGUAAUAUGCUAUAUUCAAUAGACAUCUCGACAUUUUCCUCUCAAGCAGCUUUGAGAAAACUUAGUUUAUCGAAUAAUAAAAUAAAAAAAAUAUCACCUGGAUCAUUUUCUGAGAAUCAUAAUUUGACUGAGUUGGAUGUGAGUUACAAUAGAGUAGAUGAUAUGAGCUUUUUAGAACCUUUGUAUGAUAUUUUGGAAAAGUUGGACCUUAGCGGGAAUCACUUACGUACUGAAUUAUUAACAGCACUGAUAAAUUUGAACAGUUUAAAGGAACUAAAAUUGGCUGAUUGUGGAUUGGCUCAAAUAAAUGCUGAAGUGAUUCCUAAAAGUGUCUCUGUCCUAGAUUUGAGUGAAAACUAUUUGUCGUCUUUAAAUAAAAACAUCUUACCCCCAAAUCUUACAACUUUAGAUAUAUCUGGUAAUCGAUUCAGAGGUUUAGAGGAAGAUAUUUUGCUUUACUUAGAUAACACGCAGAAUAUUAAACUCGGCCACAAUUUAUGGUCUUGCGAUUUGUGCCAUAUCGUCCCUAUGCUGGAAAGAACGAACAAAAGUGCAGUGUUCCGUGAUGUAACGUGCUCAGCGCCGUACAUAUUUAAAGGCAAAAAGCUCGAAAAGAUCCAACGUAAUGAGCUCACCUGGUGCAGUUCUGCCAGUUACACAGCGAGUGAUGCCAACUUUUUUUCAUUGGGCGAGGACGGGAAAGUAGGGAUUAUCGCAGCUAGCACUUCGGUGUUUCUACUUCUUCUAACCGCAUUCGCAAUAAUCGGCGCAUUGUGCUACGCUAAUCGACAUGCAGCCCGAUACUACACCCACGAGGAUAAAAUAGCCACUAUCGAAGGGGAAUCGAUUUUCGCCAGUAAUCACAGCCCAUUGUUUUGUGAUGGGGAACUCAACUUUAAGUUUCCGCUGGAUAUGGAGGAGAAGAAAAUUUCCAUAGCUACUAUUGAUGAGAUUAAAAAAGAGCAUGCGAUUACCAAUGGGACUUGAACGGAGUUAUAGUCCGGUAGUUGUGGUAUUUAGGUAUGAAAUAAGUGUUCAAAAAUUGUAACAUAAAGAAGAUGCUAAUUAUUCAGAAUUAUAAGGUUAGAAUUAUAAUUUUUUAGAAUCAUCAUUUUUAUAAGAUAGAAGAUAUUUAUUAUGAUAUUUAAGAAGAUUAAAUAUAUUUACAUGAAAAGCAAAAUAUUUUUCUCCUCUGAUAAAAUUAUUCUAGGUCAAUAUUUGGACUCAUAAAGCUUCUAUCCGGUUCACCUGAAAUGUUUCAUAUACACAUAAAAUGUUCACCUGGGAGUAAGAUAGGCAGACAAAACUUCUUCCGUGUCAAGUUGUCCAGUAAUGCUAGUUUUUAAACCUAUUCCAAAUUCAUCGACAAACGUGUUUAGCGAUGAAAUUUGUUUAGAUUAUGAACAGAGUGCUUCAUUCUGCAAUAUACUCAACACAAACUCAGACCAAUUCGCCUGUACAUUUUUCAUUUGAAUUUCUUGUAUUCAAACCAUCAUUCUUAAAAGUUUUGUGUACCAGGAAAAGUGAUGCAGAUGCCAAUAAUUAUCGGCCGUCAUAUUCAACAGUGACGAACUGACUUUUUUCUUUAUCUCAGUACAGACUCCUUCUUUGUCAACCUCUACUUUUUGUUGGGGCCAAUCAUUUUCGUUUCUGUACAACCAUUACGGGCCCUCCCACCAUCGAGUUUGGUACAAUUGCCUAAAACUUUCAGCCUCUUGAUGGACGAUCAGCAGGGCUGAGAGAACCAGUUACAUAUUUCUAAUGCUCAGGAUCGGCUAAAUUUCUAACCUACUGAACUUUAUUAAGAGCUAAAAUAGACCAGUCAUCCUUACAUUGAAUCCAACAAAGAACAGUAGUGUAAUCAUACCAAAAACAAGACAUCAGCAUACUGAGAAAAGUUUCAUCUACUAAGCAGAACGCAAUGAAGAUGGUCUGAUCUAGAUCGAAAACGUUUUGCGAAUCCUUUUGGAUGACAUUUUAAUAGUUUUUAAAUAAACUUUUGGGUAAUAAUUGUACAGGGUAAUAAUUGUUCAAACGAAGUUUUUACUUCUAUAUGAAUUGUAAUAAUAAACCUUAUAAUACAAGAAAAAGUGCAGGGAAAGAGUUGGAUUGGUCGAAAGAAACCUUCAUGGUUGCGUAAUAUUAGACAAUGGUGUGGUUCCACGGUAGAAGAAUUAUUUCGCGCAGCAGCUGAUAGAAAGAGGUUUCAGGAAGUUGUAAACAUGAUGACGGCCAACCUCUGAAUACGGACACAUGAAGAAGAAGAAUAAUAAACACUGAAAAGUUCAAAAUUUUAAAAUGACGUUUAAUAUUGUGUAUUUUGACUCAAUAUAAUGAAUAUUGAGAAUUGAAUAUUCAAUAAACAUUGAUAACAAAAUCAUUCAAUAAAAAAAUAUCUUUAUUUUUUUAGUAUACUUGAUCGGACUAUCUCGCGAAACAAAAAAAGAGAUAAUGGAUUGGCGAUGUAGCUACGGGAUACACCAAAACGAUUCUAUUCAGUUCUGUGUCUUUAUAGAGUUACUUUAUUUACAAAAUUUAGCUUUAUUUAGACCGAGAUAGUCGAAGUUAGCUCUUUUCGGCCUUUUAUGAACGUGUAAAUGGAAAACUUUUGUUUUUUUUUUGAAAUCUCGACGGCUUUUUUGGUUGGUAGAUUACUUUGGCAUUAUUUCACAUAUUUCCUUUUUAUGCUGAAUCAAUGCUCAGCUGAGGAGAUCAGACAGUCCUUGGUUCACAAAGGAUGGAAAAAAAUGGCAAGUAGGAUAUUAAUUUAGAAUCAAGCUAAACUGAAUAGUGACAGAUAUAGAUGCAAUAAAACAUAGUCCUGGUUUAUUAAUAUUGAACAAAAAAUUAAAAAUAUUUUUUGCUCAUAGAAAUUAACUUAUGAAAGUAUAAAUAAAUAUCUAACACAUAUUAUUAAAAAUUAGUCCAGCAAAUCUCCAAAAACAAGUGAAAUUGAUGUCAUUAUCUCCAUCUUUUAAAGCUUUUUAUAAGAUCUUUUACAAUUGUCUUAACUUUUAUAAAAUUAGUUUAUAUAUUUCUAUUUCUAUUAACCUUAUUCUUCUUCUUUAAAUAUCGUACGCGUUUAACAUCUAUACAGGGUGCCGGACGUAAACAAAACAGGCAUUAUCAGAAGCUGCAACAACAUUUUUCAGAUAUUUUCGAUUAUUUUACUUUCACUUCUAAGCCAGGGUGGGAAUCACUCCAAAACUUGAAAUGGUAAUGGGGGUCUUCUUCUUCUUAACUCAGGCGAGACUCGUUAGUCUCUGGCACUUGGUCAUGUACCAAACCCUGUUCUUCUCCUUAAACUUUAAUAAGUCCUGUGACCUCAACGAAUGCCAACAGAUUUCUUAUUGGUAGUUUUAGGAUCUCUUCUGGUUCAAACCUCAUUUGGCCAGUGAAGUCCUGCCUUACAUCAGCUAGCACACUGCAAUGGCAUAGUAUGUGUAUCCCAGUCUCUUCUUCCAUUUCGCACUUUCUGAACCAUGGUUCAUUCACCUUACCUAGUUUGGAUAUAGGUGCUUUCUUAAACGGAAAUGUCCAGUCACCAUUUCAGUGACCGUUUUGAUCUCUCGUUUAUUGAGGUUCAUCAAACUGUUUGAGAGUUUUUUUUUUCAAUAUUCUUGAUUUUUUUUUUAGUCUGGAUUUGCUCUUGAGUGGUUCUCCAUUUAUUUUGAUGAUUCUUUAUCAGCCAUUUCUGAACCUCAUUUUUCAUAGCAUCUUUAGUGAUGCCACAGAAAGGUUCUGGGCCUUCAAAAGUUUCUCUCGAGCCUUGUUUCGCUAACAUAUCUGCUCGUUCGUUCCCAUGCACCCCUUCAUGACCCGGCACCAACUAUUAAAGACACUUUAUUGUCUUUUGCUAGGUUAUUGGGGAGAUCUUUGCAGUUUCUCACCAGUCUUGAUUUGGUGUGAGGGCUCUUUACAGCCAGAAUAGCCGAUUGGCUAUCUGUGUAAAUGUUGAUUCUCUUAGCUUUAGGGUCUUCAUCAAUGAUUUCAUCAAUGCAGGCCACCAAAGCAAAAACUUCAGCCUGGAACACCGUUGUAUGUUGACCUAGGCUGUAAGAUUUAUUAUAGUUACAUGUUUGCCCAAAGACUCCUGAUCCAGUACCAUAGAUCCAUCAGUGAACCAUAUUAAGUUCCCAUUAAUAGUUGGGACUUUUUGUUCUCUAGCUAGAUGGUAUAAUUGUGUUAAUCUUCUCAGUGAAGAUUAGUUCUGGUGUCAUCAUAUCUGAGUUCAUCAUAAAGAUGGAUUCCUCAAGUAUAGUCCCAGUAAUGUUUGUGUGGCUAUUCAAUGUUUGCUUUGAGUCUCAGGAUGGUCAUAAAGGCUACCGCCGAAAUAUAUAAUUCCAGCGGAGGGAGACCUAUGAUAGCCUCUAAUGAAGCCGUUCCUGUACUAUUCAAGGCUUUUGUUAUAUUUAGAAGUGCUUGUCUUUGUAGUGUGGUGAGAGUGGUCACACAAGAUUGGAAAGCCGUCUUUCUCCACCAGAGUACUGACCCAUAAGUGACCGUCGGUCGUAUCACUGAUGUGUAUAAUCAACAGAUCAACUUUGGUUUUCAAUCUCCAGGUUUUACUUACAACUCGUCUGCAGUUUCAGAAAAGUCGCUUAGCCCUAUUGGUUAUAUUGGUAAUAUGAGUAUUCCAAUUGAGUUUCGAAUCCAGGGUUACCCCUAGAUACUUAAACUCAUUGGUUCUUUCCAGUACCUCUCCAAAUAAUUUCUGCUCACUCAGUCCAGUAAGCUUCCUCUUAUUUGUACUUGCUACCAGUUUAGUUUUAGAAGGGUUUACGGAGAGGUUCUCUUUCAGACACCAGUUCUCUAUUUAGUGAAGGGCAUAUCGCAUCUGAUCCAGAACAGUGCUGGGAAAUUUUCCCGUAGUUACUAUUACAAUAUCUUCUGCGAAACCCUGGACCCAGAUUCCUUGGGCACUUAGCCCAUGAAUCAGAUCAUCGACAACUAUGUUCCAUAAUGGGAAUCAAAUAAGAUAAGUAUGGUUUGAAAGCCCUUGCGAUUCCCUAUACGUGAGUCUUUAAAUUUUUCAAUUCAGUCCAGUACUUGUUGAUCUUCUGUCUCUUGGUCUUCUCGAUCUCUUAGCCUUAUUUCGUUCAUUUUUGAACUCAGGCUUCUCCCAACUCCGCUCAUCGAUCUGUAUCCUGAGCUACAUACUUCUAAUUUGUUCUGACUAUUUUUUUAAAGUCAUCUGCCCACCUCAUCUGUGGUCUUCCUCUUUGUCGUAUACCUUUGUAAGGUCUCCAUUGUUGUAUUGUAGCGCUCUACUAUUGGUAUAUUGUUGUUGUAUUGAAGCAUUUGAGGUUUACAAUUUUUGUUGUGGUAUCCUCGACUCGACUUUUGUUUUUCUUCUGUAUAUCUGUACACUUUCUAUUGCCCUUUCCGUUGUGGUGUGUUUAUCAUUAUUUGCCUUAGUUAGGGUCCAGGUUUGACAUACAUAUAUCGUGAUAGAAAGAAUACACUGGCUGAGUACUUUGCACCUCAAGUAUUCAGAUAUUUUGCGGCGCUGAAGUAUCCAAGGCAGAUACGAGCUACUCCAGUGCAUUUUACAAGGUAAAAUUGAAGGAAAAAGGGCCCCAGAACGAAGAAGAAUAUCCUGGCUUGCUAACCUGAGAGCAUGGUAUAGAAAGACCUCAACACAACUAUUCCGUAUAGCAACCAACAAAGUCAUCAUAGCCAGAAUGAUCGCCAACGUUCGGAACGGACAGGUACCCUAGGAAGAAGAAGAAGUAUCCAACUGAGUUCCAAAUCCUGCUUAUGCCAGUCUUACUCUUUUAGUGAUCUUCGCACUUUGGUUCUCUUUGUCGAGUUUUAGAAUUUGGCAUAGGAUGGCUAUUCUUGGACUCUUUCUAUCUCAUUGUCAUUUAUAGUUAUCUCAUCGUCUGGAGUCGUCUGUGUUUGUCAUUGUUACGUUGUUCAUUACGAAUUCCUCCGCCAUAGUUUCUAGUUCCUCUAAUGUACUCGCUAUAAUCACGAUGUCUUCAGCGAAUGUGGGGUAGUUUAACUUAUUGCCAUAAAUGUUGUUAUCAUAUGUUGAACAAUCUGUAUUUUUAGAGACUAGUUGUAUACCAUAUCUUAGAAUAGUUAUUUCCGACAGAAAAAAGUUGUAGUAAUACUUAUAUCGGUAUUGUUUUGAUAAAUAGUAUUUUUUCACUAUCAACGAAGAUAUUCAUAUUUUUCCACUGAAACAAGAAAAGUCAGUUAUAAACUCAUCUAAAUUAACCCAGUGUAACUUAAAAACUAACCAUCCAACUGAGUUUAAAUUUUGAUCGGUGAUUUUUUCAGGUUUGUACAUAAAAGAUUUGUCACUAUUGGCAUCAACUAUGUAUUAGAUCCGAGACAUAGGGCUUUUCAUCGAUUGCCAUUUGUUCCGAGCUUCUGUAAUAAAUCGUCUAAUAUUAAUAUAUCUACGUCAUACGUUAUUGGUAUAUAUGUCGGUUCGCUAAACUCAGACACAAGUGGCUAGUGAUUUUAGUCGGAUAUUUUUUGUUUUUGGCCAAUUUGGCAAAAUUACUUACUAAAAUCACUAACCAGUUGUGUCCGAGUUUGGCGAACCGACUAUACCAAUGAUAUUCUUGUUCUCAUGAUCAUUUUUCAGUGCGUCAUUAAUUAUGACGUCACAUACUGUAUUGGGUGUGUCGAGACUUAUUUCAUGUAAUUAUUGACGAAUCUGACAGAUGCCAGAAUCGUACUUCGCCAUAGGUGAAAAGCUUGUGGAAUUAAACUAAUUAGUAAUUUAGUAGAUUUGAUUUUUACACAAUAUGUUAACAUGUAGGUAUUUUUUAUAAAGGGGAAUAAAAUUAAAAAGUAAACAAUAUUGUUAAUUAAAUUUAUAAAUAUGGAAACAUUAAAAAAUGACACAAAACUAUCCAUAAACUGUGUUAUUAUCUUCUUCUCUAGGUGCUGUCUCCGCUUCAAAAGUUGGCAAUCAUCAGAGAGAUCUUUAUUUCUGAAACCGCGGCUCUAAAUAAUUCAUUGUUAUUACAUCCAAAUCAGUUCCUAAGGUUCUUCAGCCAUGAGUUACGUCUCCUUACUAUGGAUCUUUUUUUUUGCAUAAUGACCUGGAGUAUUAGAUAUACAUCUCUCAUCACAUAUCCCAUAUAUCUCAGUUUUCUUCUUAUUUGUUAGUUCUUCUCGUUCCCUAUGCGUAAGUCUCAUUACCUUCACGUUGGCUAUUCUAUCUACUCAUGAGAUUUUUAGCACUCUUCGGUACAUCUCGAAUGUCUCUAGUCUCCUCACGCCAAUGACUAACUUUUAACGAACUAAAUUCUAAACCAAAACACAAAAUAAUGCACAAAAACGUUGUGAAACACAAGGGAAGUCGAAUUCGAAUUUCAAAAUGACAGGUACACAAAAUACUGACCUGAAUAAUAACCGUCACUUGACUCUUUGACACUUCUAAAAAAUGGCCAAAAUGGACGAAGUUUUCGUCAAAUGUUCGUAAUACGAGUAUUUGAUUGGCUAGAAAAAACGCGCAUUCUAAAUAUCAACGAAUCAAACGUAGGUUAGGAAUAGACAUCUUAUGUAUAUAACCAUUGUAAUGCUGCAUUAUUUUUGUGUUUAAUCACGGAGCUACCGCUUUUUCCAUCUCAUCUAACUUAAUGCAUUAGAGAGAAAUCUAAAAACUGUGACGCAGUGAAAAAUGAUCAUGAGAACAAGAAUACAAACCAAAGACGUAUGACGUAGAUAUCUUAAUACUAUACGACACUUGACAGAAGCUCGAAACAAAUGACUGUGAAUGAAAAGCCCUAUUGACAAAGCGUUAAUAAAAAUUACAUGUUAUCGCAAAUCACGAAAUCCUAAAUUUCUUAAGUCAAUUAAAAAAUUAUUCAGAAAGUAUAUAAUAUUAUAUUUUUAUUAGUAAAUUAUUUUUUAAUAAUUAAUACAGAUAUUAGUAUUUUUCUGUAAUGGUAUUUUCAUAAAUGUUCGAGUUAAAUAGAAAAUUAAAAGAAGUUGUCGUUGCAAGGUCUAUUGCAUUCAUAAUAUAUUGGAUGUUUUUUUAAAGCAGAUAUGAGUGACAGAGUCAAGAAGUCAGUGUUAUUCCACAUAGCUUUACAGCUCACCUUUCACUUUAACGAAGCUCUCCACAAAUAGAAAUUGUUCAACGUGAUUGUGAUGGGAUGAGUCGGAGACCUCGAGAAAGGUUUCUUGACUGCACUACCGUUACACCACUUGUUUUCAUCCAAGGCUUAUUUGAGUUUUCCGAUCAGGCCUGCAUGCCAAACCAGAUAAAAAGCUAUAUGGACAUCUAGAAAGAUGCCUAAUAAUGAAUAUUGCGGCUUCUAUCCAUACGUUAUGUGCGCUGUGACCAUCUCUGAAUCCAAAUUGGAUAUCGGGAAUAAUGUGGAAUUCCUCUAGAUCUUCUAGGACUCUUUCUGGAAGGUGUUUCAUGGUUUAUUGAUGAUGAUUGUGCUGGGUAUUUUCUGGGUGAUAGAAAAAUAUUUCAGCGGUACUUUACUCCAUUACUCCGGCCUCCAUUACUUAGCCUCCUGAUAGUAUCUGUGUCAACUGGUUCAACUAUCGGAACCUUAAUGUUAUGAAAUCUCGCUAAGACUUUCACCUCUUUAAGGUGGGGCUGCUCUCUUCUUUGUUUCCGGGAGCGUGGAAUGUGGAUGAGCAAUGUUCAGGUCAAGAGAUUUGUAGAUGGGUUUUGGGGUUAGUUGUUUAGUCCGUUUUUUUUUCUGAAAAAAUAUUUCAGCGGUACUUUUGCCUCCAUUACUUAGCCUCCUGAUAGUAUCUGUGUCAACUGGUUCAACUAUCGGAACCUUAAUGUUAUGAAAUCUCGCUAAGACUUUCACCUCUUUAAGGUGGGGCUGCUCUCUUCUUUGUUUCCGGGAGCGUGGAAUGUGGAUGAGCAAUGUUCAGGUCAAGAGAUUUGUAGAUGGGUUUUGGGGUUAGUUGUUUAGUCCGUUUUUUUUUUCUGAAGGAGGAGAAGCCAAGUUGUCAAGUUGAGAGAAUAACAGUACCUCGGAUUUUACCAACUAUACAUUAUUAACGGCUCUUGAUCGGUUGAUAACUACUUGUCAUCGACGAUGACAACUAGUUUUUAAGACCUCUUUAUGAAUGGAGUGUUCUUCCAGAGAAACCUUCUUCUUCUUCUUCUUCUUCGCGCGACUAGGAUUACUCCUGUUUGUCUGCCUCUUAUUCUGUUUCAGUUGUUGUUGACUGUACAUUGUCUUUCCACCUUUUCGGCGGCCUUCCAACGGGUCUUCUGCUAUACGGCUUGUUGUUUUUACAGAUGUUCGCUAGUUUAUCUGGUUUCAUCCGGUUUACAUGUUCGUUCCAGAUUUUCUUUCUUGUUUUUAUCCACCUGUUAAUAUUUUGAAUUUUGCAUCGUUCUCGUAUACUUCUGUUGCUUUGUCUGUCUCUUAAUGAUAUGCCCGCUAUUGAUCUUAAUACUUUCAUUUCGAUAUUGUUGAUUUGUUGUUUCGCUUUCUUGUAUCGGUCCUUGUCUCCGCUGCAUAUCUUAGGAUAGGUCUUACUGUUGUCUUGUAUACUUUUAUUUUGCUUUCCGUGGUCAGAUAUUUGUUUCUCAAUAUGGUUUCUCGGAGGCAAUCACUUACUCUUGCCGCUUUUGUUGCUUGUGUUGUGGUCUCUGUUCUUAUAUUCCUGUCACUAGUAAUCUCUACUCCUAGGUAAUUGAAUUUCAUUACUUGUUCUACAAUUUUGGCGUCUAUUUCUAACUUGCAUCUACGCGGCUCUUUACUUAUCACUCACUAUACAUUUAGUUUUUUCUACUGAUAUUCUCAUAUUAAGUUUAUUUGCUGUCAUAUUGAAAGUGUGGACCUGCCUUUGUAGGUCAUCCUCGUUAUCAGCAAUUAGUACUGCAUCAUCGGCAUAUCAUAGUAUCGUGAUUUUAUGCGCUCCCAUGUGAUAUCCAUGUCGUUUUCUUACUUUGAUUCAUCACCAUAUUGAAUAACAACGAGCUGAGCGAGUCUCCUUGGCGGAUUCCUCCUUUUAGUUCUAUGCAUUAUGUUUCUCCUGUUGACAUUAUAACUCUGGUCUUGUUGUUCUUGUUAAUUUCAUUAAUUAGCCUUAUUAUCUGGUGGUCUAUUUGUUCAGCUUGUAAUAAAUUUAAGAUAUCAUUUCGCCUCACCCUGUCAAAAGCACUUUUUAAAUCUACAAAGAACAUGUAUGCUGGUUUUUCAUAUUCAAUAGACUUUUCUACUAUUUGCCUGAUAAUAAAAAUUGCAUCUAUUGUGCUGCGGUUCUUCCGGAAGCCUUGUUGUUCAUCUGCCAUAUUCGCUUUUUCCUCCGUUUUAUCUUUUAUGACUGCCGUCAACAAUUUUAAUGUGCUGUUCAUCAGACUAAUGCCUCUAUAAUUUUCAGGAUUUUUCGAGUCUCCCUUUUUGAGUAUUGGUAGCAGGAGACUUUAAUUCCAUUCCGCUGGUACUACUCCGAUAUUUAUUAUAUCGACAAAUAAUUUUCGGAGCCAUUUGAGUAGUUAACCUCCUCCAUAUUUUAGCAGUUCAUUAUUUAUCUUAUCAGGACCAGGUGCUUUUCUAUGAGAAACCAGAGUCUCUCAUUGAGAAUCCUACCGUAGACCUUUCUUAAACUGUUUAGAAGAGAUACUGGUCUAUAGGAUUCUGAGCUGGUUAGGGGUUUCCGUGGUUUGGGAACCAUAAACCACUAUAGGAUGAUAGUUUUCCCUUAAGUAGGCCUAAAACCCUGGAAUGAACAAAAAUAAAAGACUCGUUGGUGCUAUAUUGUUUCUCACCGCAGAAUGUAGCAAAUUGCUUUUAAAUUGGUUUUUUGUAGUUUCGGUUAUACAUUUUUUAGAGAACUUUGUAUAUUGUCAUAAAAAAACGUUCCAAAGUAUGAAUAGUUUGUGGAAGAGUAAAGUUGUGUGGAGUCUGAAACUAUGUCAGUUUUUAAAUAUAAAUAUCUGAUACUAGAGUUUUGCAAGAGAUCUUGUAACGAAAAUAUGACAAGAUUUAAUGCAUUUAAAUAUUUAUGUAUUAAUAAAUCGUGCCAACAGCAUAUAUUAUGCCAUUUUGAACUAUAAUAUACCACUAGAAUUCCCCAAAGUGUGUUCCAAAAUUAUUGAUCUGUGACAUAUUGGAUUUGUAAUUUUCUGUGGAAAAAGAUAUCACACAUAGUAUAAAAAAUUUGGAUCUAAACGUUGAUUUUAGUCUUCAAAGAAACUUACAAAUCCAAUUUUUUACAUUUACCCCAGAAACAGAGGAGCCACUCUGCAGCUCUGCUGAGUGGAGCCACAAAGUGGCUUAGACAGGCGAUUUUGCAGCCCCAAUGAUUUUGUAAUGGACGCCACUAGCAGCGAGGAUCGGCAACAGUGGCUGGCCACUACGCUGGCCAUUGUCGCUCUUGGAAUGGCACGUUUAAUUUACAUAAGAAUUUACCGCUAAUCAUCGGAAGCGACCUUGUGGCGCCACAGAGUACUGCUGCAGAGUGGUUUGUCUGUUUCUUCGCUUACUCUGUAGCAUAGAUUAUUAUGAUUGGAAGAACAGAGUUGACCAGGCUCAGGUCCUCGAGUACCUCCUGUUACCUCGAGUAGUAUUGCGUGGAGUAAUAUUUUUUUGUAUAGUUUUAAAAUUAGAGAAAUGUAAAACAUUAUUUGUAAAUGUAAAUAUGUCUUUUUGCUAUUGUAAUUCCAUUUCAGAUGCUUCUACUAUGAAACAGUUUGUAUUUCGCGUUGUAUCUAUUUCCAUCUUCCCCUAUCUCAACUCUUUAAAGUUAGUAUGUCUCAAUAUUUUUUUAAAGAAGAAUUAUGCCUUGUUAGUAGUAGUUUAUUCUCUACUACGAUGGAUAUACGAGAAGAAAGAUAACUAUUUCACAAGUUAUACUCUCUUGAAUAAGCGGUACACAACUUAAGGAAAAAUACGACAACUUUAAUGUCCCUAGAAAAGUGAAAGAGAUGAGAGGUAGACACAGACAGAGAUAAAAAAAACAAUAUUAAAAAAGAAAGAAAUAAUAAUAACGAAAUCAUAAUAGAUAGUGAAAAUCAUAACAAAGGAAAAUCUGGAGAAGUGGAAAGAAUGACACUUUUUGACGAUAAUAGAUCUUCUGCUCCCCCAUCCACUAAUGAUCGAAUUAAAAAUAUCCAGAAGUAACCAGAGAAGUCAUUCAUGCAAUAAAAGCUCAGAAAAAUGGAAAAUCCGCCAGUCCCGACAAAAUGAAGAUUGAACUAUUUAAUCUAACAAUAAAACACUGAAAACGUUUGUUUUCUAUACUUGCACAAAAUUUAUUAUAACUAAGUGACUACAGCUGUUUCUGCAGAGUGCCUUUCUCAAGUGAUUUAGUUUACUAUGGGUUUGCCUUUUUAAAGUCUUUAACUGAAGAGGUUGAGGAGUGGGGAGCUGUUUGUCUCGAGUUGGUCAUUCAGAAUUAUAUCUGUAUUUUUUAAUUUAUUAAUUUCCAUAGAUUCUAAUAAAGAUAGCUUAAGGCCUUUAUUUUGAAUAUGCAAAAUUUGAAACUCUUCAUUAAAAGAAUGUUUAUGAUCUAGAAGGUGAAGUUCGUAUGUAGAAGUGUCUGUUUUUCUAUUGUUGAAAGCCCUUUUGGUCAAAGGUUCUGCCAGUUUGACCGAUGUAAGUUUUCGGACAGUCACCACAAGUUAGUUUGUAGACACCACUCAGUAGUUGUUUUCUCUUUCGGCUCUUAUUGUUCUUAAUAUAUUUGCUUAAGUUGUGGUUAGUUUUGAAAGCUGGUGUUAUUCCGUUCUUUUUUAUGUAUCUGGCUAUUUUUGUUGUUAUCUUGCCAGUAAAUGUGAUAGAGCAGAAGGUACUGGGUUCUUUCUGUGGUGGUGGAUAAACUAAUUUCAGGGCUUUCUUAUGGAGUUUUUGGUUUAAAAUUUUAUUAAUUGUUUGUUCGUUAUAGCCAUUGUUCACUGCUAUUUGUUUAAUGAUGUUCAGUUCUAUUUCGAAGUUAUUUUUUGACAUGGGAAUUUCUGUCAGUCUAUGUAUCAUGCUAUGGUAGGUAUGCUCCCAUGUCAAAAAAUAACUUCGAAAUAGAACUGAACAUCAUUAAAUAAAUAGCAGUAAACAAUGGCUAUAACGAACAAACAAUUAAUAAAAUUUUAAACCAAAAACUCCAUAAGAAAGCCCUGCAAUUAGUCUAUCCACCACCACAGAAAGAACCCAGUACCUUCUGCUCUAUCACAUAUACUGGAAAGAUAACAACAAAAAUAGCCAGAUGCAUAAAAAAGAAAGGAAUAACACCAGCUUUCAGAACUAACAACAACUUAAGCAAAUAUAUUAAGAACAAUAAGAGCCGAAAGAGAAAACAUCUACAGAGUGGUGUCUACAAACUAACUUGUGGUGACUGUCCGAAAACUUACAUCGGUCAAACGGGCAGAACCUUUAACAAACUGAUAGCAGAACACAAAAGGGCUUUCAACAAUAGAAAAACAGACACUUCUACAUACGCACUUCACCUUCUAGAUCAUAAUCAUUCUUUUAAUGAACAGUUUCAAAUUCUGCAUAUUCAAAAUAAAGGCCUUAAACUAUCUUUAUUAGAAUCUAUGGAAAUUAAUAAAUUAAAAAAUGCUGAUAUAAUUCUGAAUGACCAACUCGAGACAAACAGCUCCCCACUCCUCAACCUCUUCAGUUAAAGACUUUAAAAAGGCAAACCCAUAGUAAACUACAACACUUGAGAAAGGCACUCUGCCAAAACAGCUGUAGUCACAUAGUUGUAAUAAAUUUUGUGGAAGUAUAGAAAACACACGUUUUCAGUGUUUUAUUGUUAGAUAAAAUGAACUUCUAUCAAGUAACUGUCGAAUCCAUCAAUUAUGAACUAUUUAAAUUAAUUGCAGACAACGAAAGUAAAAGCCUAGGAUUUAUAAGAUAUAUGAUACGGGUAAGAUACCAUUAGACUCGUUGUUCUCGAGUUAUCUGGAAACUUCCCUACUUCUACUGGUGAGUCACUAGAAUUUUCGCGAAAGUAUAGUAGCUAUCAAAUUAGUGCAGUAAACCUUAAUCUUAAGCUUAUUACAAAAUCAUUGGCAUUUGAAUGGUUUGGUUACGUUUCCGGCACAGGUAGAAAGUAAUAAAUAUUAAUCUAUUGUACAUUUAAUGUUCACCUCUCGAAACUUAACUACACCACACAAAUACAAAUGACUCUGUAAUAGGAUUAAGAUACGGUUUGCUGAAAUAAUUUGUGGGCAAACAUAGACUCAAAAAUCAGUCUGACAAUUUUUAAAAAAUAUUUUACAUCGAACAAACAAAAAGAAAGCCCAGGAACGAUUUCUAAAAUAUAAAUGUCCAUUUUAAUACAAAGAGGAUAUUUCGUCUGUAAUACAACAUCGUAUAUUGUUAAACGUUUUCUUUUGUUAAAACAUAGUUCAUUUCUUUUAUUUUUAAAAAUAUUGAGACAUAGACACUGUAUAGUAAAUGUACUUAAGAAGGCACUAAAUUGUUAUUAGUGCGUGAAUGUUGUUUGAAUUAUGUAUAAGAUUUAUAUCGAUACUUUUACCAUUUAAGCAUACCUAUUUUUUACGAUAAUUUUUAAGAUUUUUAAGACUUCUUAUAUAUGUAUACUAUUUUAUUUAUGUACAAAAAUGACUGUAAAUUGUUUAAAUAAAUUUAAUGUUUUGUA